GGCACAUCUAGUGUGACAGCCUAAAAAAAAGCGAUUUUUGGGAAUUAAAAAAAAAAAACUACUGUAUAACUUGUUUUAAAAUUUUAAGAGUAUGUUUAUACAUAUUUUAAGAAUACACAGUAAAAUUUCUGAAGAAAAAAAUUAAAUAUUUUUCGAGACCUUCACUGCUGCAGUGAUUCCGGCCUUCUCCGUGAAUUAAAUAAAAAAAAAAAUUCUCGUUAAACUAGAAGAUAUUGUCCAUACAAUGACCUACGGCCAAAAA